rnacentral:rRNA from 1 species
AUUGAACGCUGGCGGCAGGCUUAACACAUGCAAGUCGAGCGGGGGAAGGUAGCUUGCUACCGGACCUAGCGGCGGACGGGUGAGUAAUGCUUAGGAAUCUGCCUAUUAGUGGGGGACAACAUCUCGAAAGGGAUGCUAAUACCGCAUACGUCCUACGGGAGAAAGCAGGGGAUCUUCGGACCUUGCGCUAAUAGAUGAGCUCAAGUCGGAUUAGCUCGUUGGUGGGGUAAAGGCCUACCAAGGCGACGAUCUGUAGCGGGUCUGAGAGGAUGAUCCGCCACACUGGGACUGAGACACGGCCCAGACUCCUACGGGAGGCAGCAGGGGGGAAUAUUGGACAAUGGGGGGGACCCUGAUCCAGCCAUGCCGCGUGUGUGAAGAAGGCCUUAUGGUUGUAAAGCACUUUAAGCGAGGAGGAGGCUACUCUAGUUAAUACCUAGGGAUAGUGGACGUUACUCGCAGAAUAAGCACCGGCUAACUCUGUGCCAGCCGCCGCCGUAA